ACAUACGGUCAGGUUUUAGCUCCAGGCAGAGGAAAACGAUCAGUCGUAAACUGCACACAAGGUCUCAACGACUGGUAGUGAGCUAUACACAGUGAAUUAGCGACCUGUCGUACACUAUACACAGGGAAGUAACGACUACUCGAAAGCAACAGAGAGUAAAUCAACGACUGACCGUAAGCUACACACGGGAAACUAACGAACAAUCUUAAGCUAAACAGUAAAUCAACAACCGGACGUAAGCUACACACGGAAACUAAAGAACAAUCACAAGCCCCAUUCGGGGAAUCGAUGACCAGUCGUUAGGCACGCGUACAGUUUCAACGAAUAACCGUAAGCUGUUUGGUAAAGGUAAACUAUAAAGUAGACUACGUCCGCGCCGAGACGCCAUCGAGAACAGUCGAUAUGGUCGUGCGAGUUGUUUAUGCGGUACCGCUAUGGUGGCUUCAGUGCUCGGUCGUGAUAUUAGGGUUUGCAACCGGUAUAUCAGAAAACAGGCAUCACACUGGUGACCGGUUACAACAAGAAUAUGCAGAUCAACAAUAUGACACCCAUUAUAAAGAAACAAAACCACAAGGCUCAUUGCAAAACCCAUGGAUGUUCCAUCGUAAUGAAGCUAUGCCACUGGUAUUAGAUGCUUUCAGAAUAAAGAUGAUGCAAAUCAAUGAAUAAAGAGCAAGCGACAAGAUAUCACCACAUCAAACACACUUUUAAAUGAAGAAAUGAAAGGACUCUACGUUUCUUGGAGCAGCAUCCAGCUUUGAUGAGAGAAGAUUACUCAUAGGGUCUAUACCGCCAAGGUUGAGAAAUCGCGCAAACGCCCCACCUCGUCGGUUUUCUCAG